rnacentral:snRNA from 2 species
AUACCUUUCUCGGCCUUUUGGCUAAGAUCAAGUGUAGUAUCUGUUCUUAUCAGUUUAAUAUCUGAUAUGUGGGUCAUUGGCCCACACGAUAUUAAAUUACUUUUUUAAAGGGGAGGGGCCAUGACAAUAGCUUGCUAUUGGGUCUCUCAGGUANCAGAUUAAAAGACCAAUUCUUUUUACUUACCGAAACACCAAAC